ACUUGCCGGAAUGUGAUUGCAACCUAGAAAGCGGGAGCCUAAUGGUUAGUAUUUGCUGCACCGUGCCAACUGGGAUGUGAUAAUUGUGCCUCCAGAUCCUGCCAUUGUCCAUAAAACCUUGCUGCUUUUGAAUGCUAGCAAGGUCGGAGUUAGUGGCGUGCCUGGUGGAAAGGGAUACUAUUGGGUAUUUUUUCAAACUGAGAACCAGGAGCCGUGAUAAUGGAAAUAUGUCCUUCCUUCUACCGUGCCCUUCUUCUUCUUCACCAUAAUUUUCCUUUUCUUCUUCCACUACCAACCCCUUUCCUGUCAUCUCAACCACUACCAUCAUUAUGACUGCUGACUGUCACUUCUACCACCAUCAUCACCAGCACAGCAAUUCGUACUGUUACCACCAUCGCCACCAUUCUCACUGCUACCAUGACUACCACCACCACCCUCAGCACCUGCUUAUGGGAAAGAAUGGAGAAUUAUACCUUUAAUACUGCUCAUCAACAUGAUUCCCAGCCCAAACAACCCAAAGAGUACACUGUGCUAGAUAGUGCUUUUUAUACCAGCCACACGCUGGAGAGCAUGAACUAGACCGAUUAUGCCAACACAAAAACAAAAACAGAGCCAUAAUUCCUCACUCCAACCUUCGCAAAAAACAACCAUGUACCAAAUUGUUAAGGCUUUAGAAAUCCUUUAAAAUGACAGAUAUAAAACAGUAUAAAGGGAGCUCAGCUUUCUUCAUGCACCUUUGGGACAACCCUUGAAGCUACAGGGUCACUAGAUUAAAAGAAAGAAAGAAAGAGGCUUGUGAUAAAGCCCAGACAUCACGGUGCUGUUUGCUGUCUCUCCAUUUCUGGCUCUGGCGGGAGCUCCGAGACAAGAUCUAAGAGGCGGCUCAGAGGCUGCCUCACACACAAACACAGGACAGGUACAGUUCUUCAGAGAAGGCCUUAGCCCCACGGGGAAAUCUCAGAUUCAAGAAUCUGCUGACAUAAACAAGAGGAAAGGCUUGGUGGCAAGUCAGAAGACUUGUUUUUGGAAGCUGAAAACCAACUUCGGUGACAAUGGUCUUCCCCAGCUCCCUAAUUGUGCCCUUGCUGGGGAGGCCUGUAGCCCUCCUGGGACCUCCAGGGCUUGAAACCAGCCCUGCUUAGGUAAGUGCACUGUGCAAAUAAGCCCUCGGGGGCCCACAGACAGGUAAACAGCUCUCCAGCUGACAUUCAGACACAAACUGGAGAUUAAAAUGACUAGCUUUCAGAUCCGUGCAUCCAGAGAGGGUCUAGGCUGGGCCCAGAGAAGGGGUCCAGGGUGAGUCAUUAGGGGGCCCACAGCCAUGCAGUUUGAAAGAAGUGAGGCAGAUGGGGAGGGCAGGUGUGAAACCAGCUCUGGAAAGACUUGAAAGGGAAGGCAGGAUCAAUACAAGGGCUGGACUUGCUGCAGUGAAGACAAGUGCCACUGACCAAGUGAAAGGAGAGUGGGAAGGAAAGAGACCGGGGGUAGGGUGAGUAGGAGAGGCGGCGCCGGGCAAGGUUCAGCACGGAGCCACGUGAGGCAAGCACUUCUCCAAGAAUUUAUUGUUGUAAGGAGCAAGGGGUGAAAGUGCUUCUUUGCCUUCCCUGUUCAAAAUUGCAAUUCAAAAUCAAGUUUCCAGUUCUGAUUGCACAACCCCAUCGAUAUGUUUAAUGCUGAAUGUUUAACACUUAGAGAUGGUUGAGAUGGUGAAUUUUAUGUUACACGUAUUUUACCAAAAUAAAUAAUAUUGGAAAAGAAAUUAAGUAGGGUUAGGGAAAGAUCCGAAGGUACUGGGGCAUUUUAAUCAAUUAAAGAAAAUUGAAGAUAAAAUCUUACUAGGAACCUGCACACAGAAAACACUCAGCCAGAACUGAAGCCAAGGCUCCCGUUUUCACUUUUCAGACAACUAACCAAGUCAGUGGGAGAAAGAGUUUUAAGUAUUAUGGGUGGGAAUGUCUCUUUUCAAUGGCUUACUUCUAGGCAUGGUGGUCAGGACACCUGCCCCCAUGUCUUUCUCCAAGUUUCCUUGAUGCCUUCAGUCCUGCAAGAAAUAACUUAGUUGUGUUCUCACAUUGUGGUGGUUUUCUUUUUUUUUUUUUGCAGUUUUGGGCCUGGGUUGGGUUUGAACUUGCCACCUUCGGCAUAUGGGGCCGGCGCCCUACUCCUUUGAGCCACAGGCGCCGCCCCAUGGUGGUUUUCUUCAAAGGAGGGCUUCUUCCUGGCAUGGCACGACCCCAACUAGAACUCCUUGCAUUGCUGAGUUGACGUCUGAGCGCCCUCCCAAAGUUCUUCUUUGCAGCCUGGCACCUUUGCUGCCCACCAUUCUGUGUCCUCUUCUCACCAUCCCGAGGGAAAGAGCAGCAGGCUUUUCUGAAUCCAUUGAAGACCUCCUUGCUUCCAUCAUCAGCCCUAGACUUGUCAUUCUGGUGGCAUUCUCCAUCAAGGCAUAUGAGUUUCUGUAAUUCACAAGUCUCUGCAUGAACAACAACAAAUAGAGGACAAUUAACCCAUGAUGUGACGCAGAUGCUGAGCAGCUGGCUGGGCGCAUUUGCUGACAAGACCAGUGCCCGUGAAGUAGUUUCUGAAUAGUACAAAUGACUCAGAUUUGUGCCUCAGCAAAAUUAGAAAUCACUAUCAGUUACAGAUCUUCAGACAAAGCAGCUAGUACUAAAUGCUGAAGGUCACACACCUAGAAUGACUUUGAGCAGUCCCACAUCACUGACUUGACUAGAAAGGAGCUUAUUCAGUUGUCCAGUGCUGUGCAGAACACAGGGAGGAGAGUUGAGGCCACUGUGAGAUGGUAACACUAAUCCUCCUACCAUUCACCAGGCACUUAUUACACGCCCAGUAUGUUACAUUAGACUUUGCAUAGUGUUCUGGCCAAACUGCCUGGGUUGGAAUCCUGGCUCUACCAUUUCCCAGCUGAGUUACCUUUGUAAUCUUACUUCAUCUCUUUGUGACUCAAUGU